AUCUACUGCCAUACCACCCUGAAUGUGGCCGAUCUUGUCUGAUCUCGGAAGCUAAGCAGGGUCGGACCUCCUUAGUCCUUGGGAGACAACUGGGAAUCUCAACAAUGCCUAGAGGCAAUAGAGA
ensembl:rRNA 5S_rRNA 5S ribosomal RNA